GGACGUGAAAGCCCUUCGGGGUGAGUAGAGUGGCGGACGGGUGAGUAACGCGUAGGAAUCUACCCAGUAGUGGGGGACAACAGUCGGAAACGGCUGCUAAUACCGCAUACGCCCUACGGGGGAAAGCGGGGGACCUUCGGGCCUCGCGCUAUUGGAUGAGCCUGCGUAAGAUUAGCUAGUUGGUGGGGUAAAGGCCUACCAAGGCGACGAUCUUUAGCUGGUCUGAGAGGAUGAUCAGCCACACUGGGACUGAGACACGGCCCAGACUCCUACGGGAGGCAGCAGUGGGGAAUAUUGCACAAUGGGCGCAAGCCUGAUGCAGCCAUGCCGCGUGUGUGAAGAAGGCCUUAGGGUUGUAAAGCACUUUCAAUUGGGAAGAAAAGCUUGUCGUUAAUAGCGGCAAGCCCUGACAUUACCUUUAGAAGAAGCACCGGCUAACUCCGUGCCAGCAGCCGCGGUAAUACGGAGGGUGCGAGCGUUAAUCGGAAUUACUGGGCGUAAAGCGCGCGUAGGCGGUUGCUUUAGUCGGAUGUGAAAGCCCCGGGCUUAACCUGGGAACUGCAUCCGAUACUGGGCAACUAGAGUACGAGAGAGGGGGGUAGAA
rnacentral:rRNA from 1 species